CCUACGGGAGGCAGCAGUGAGGAAUAUUGGUCAAUGGACGAGAGUCUGAACCAGCCAAGUAGCGUGAAGGAUGACUGCCCUAUGGGUUGUAAACUUCUUUUAUAAAGGAAUAAAACGAGGCACGUGUGCCUUUUUGCAUGUACUUUAUGAAUAAGGAUCGGCUAACUCCGUGCCAGCAGCCGCGGUAAUACGGAGGAUCCGAGCGUUAUCCGGAUUUAUUGGGUUUAAAGGGAGCGUAGAUGGGUUGUUAAGUCAGUUGUGAAAGGUUGCGGCUCAACCGUAAAAUUGCAAUUGAUACUGGCAGUCUUGAGUACAGUUGAGGUAGGCGGAAUGCGUGGUGUAGCGGUGAAAUGCUUAGAUAUCACGAAGAACCCCGAUUGCGAAGGCAGCUUACUAAACUGUGACUGACAUUGAUGCUCGAAAGUGUGGGUAUCAAACAGGAUUAGAUACCCGGGUAGUC
rnacentral:rRNA from 1 species